rnacentral:rRNA from 1 species
GACGAACGCUGGCGGCGCGCUUAACACAUGCAAGUCGAGCGAGAACCAGGCCUUCGGGCCUGGGGACAGCGGCGAACGGGUGAGUAACACGUGGGUAAUCAACCCUCGAUACUGGGAUAGCCCGGGGAAACCCGGAUUAAUACCGGAUGGCCCUUUGGUUCUUCGGAUCUGAAGGAAAAGGUAGCUUCGGCCUCCGAUCGAGGACGAGCCCGCGGCGGAUUAGCUAGUUGGUGAGGUAAAAGCUCACCAAGGCGACGAUCCUUAGCUGGUCUGAGAGGAUGAUCAGCCACACUGGGACUGAGACACGGCCCAGACUCCUACGGGAGGCAGCAGUGGGGAAUUUUGGACAAUGGGCGCAAGCCUGAUCCAGCAAUGCCGCGUGAGUGAAGAAGGCCUUGG